GAGGUUCGACUCGAGCGAAGCGAGAGAACGUUGCGUCAGCAACGGCCCGCAGGGCGAGUCACGCAGUGGCGAGUCAUCCUCUAUCACCGACCA
rnacentral:sRNA from 1 species